GCAAGUCGAACGCGAAAGCGCCUACGGGGGUGAGUAGAGUGGCGGACGGGUGAGUAACGCGAGGGAAUCGACCCUGCAGUGGGGGACAACCCGAGGAAACUCGGGCUAAUACCGCAUACGUCCUACGGGAGAAAGGGGGCCUUUGGCUCUCGCUGCAUGAUGAGCCCGCGUCCGAUUAGCGUGUUGGUAGGGUAAUGGCCUACCAAGGCGACGAUCGGUAGCUGGUCUGAGAGGAUGAUC
rnacentral:rRNA from 1 species